rnacentral:rRNA from 1 species
GAUGAACGCUGGCGGCGUGCUUAACACAUGCAAGUCGAACGAAGCACUUUAUUUGAUUUCCUUCGGGACUGAUUAUUUUGUGACUGAGUGGCGGACGGGUGAGUAACGCGUGGGUAACCUGCCUUGUACAGGGGGAUAACAGUUGGAAACGGCUGCUAAUACCGCAUAAGCGCACGGCAUCGCAUGAUGCAGUGUGAAAAACUCCGGUGGUAUAAGAUGGACCCGCGUUGGAUUAGCUAGUUGGUGAGGUAACGGCCCACCAAGGCGACGAUCCAUAGCCGACCUGAGAGGGUGACCGGCCACAUUGGGACUGAGACACGGCCCAAACUCCUACGGGAGGCAGCAGUGGGGAAUAUUGCACAAUGGGCGAAAGCCUGAUGCAGCGACGCCGCGUGAGCGAAGAAGUAUUUCGGUAUGUAAAGCUCUAUCAGCAGGGAAGAUAAUGACGGUACCUUACUAAGAAGCACCGGCUAAAUACGUG